UAAGGCGAGGCCGAAAGGCGUAGUCGAUGGGAAACAGGUUAAUAUUCCUGUACUUGGUGUUACUGCGAAGGGGGGACGGAGAAGGCUAUGUUGGCCGGGCGACGGUUGUCCCGGUUUAAGCGUGUAGGCUGGUUUUCCAGGCAAAUCCGGAAAAUCAAGGCUGAGGCGUGAUGACGAGGCACUGCGGUGCUGAAGCAACAAAUGCCCUGCUUCCAGGAAAAGCCUCUAAGCAUCAGGUAACAUCAAAUCGUACCCCAAACCGACACAGGUGGUCAGGUAGAGAAUACCAAGGCGCUUGAGAGAACUCGGGUGAAGGAACUAGGCAAAAUGGUGCCGUAACUUCGGGAGAAGGCACGCUGAUAUGUAGGUGAAGUCCCUCGCGGAUGGAGCUGAAAUCAGUCGAAGAUACCAGCUGGCUGCAACUGUUUAUUAAAAACACAGCACUGUGCAAACACGAAAGUGGACGUAUACGGUGUGACGCCUGCCCGGUGCCGGAAGGUUAAUUGAUGGGGUUAGCGCAAGCGAAGCUCUUGAUCGAAGCCCCGGUAAACGGCGGCCGUAACUAUAACGGUCCUAAGGUAGCGAAAUUCCUUGUCGGGUAAGUUCCGACCUGCACGAAUGGCGUAAUGAUGGCCAGGCUGUCUCCACCCGAGACUCAGUGAAAUUGAACUCGCUGUGAAGAUGCAGUGUACCCGCGGCAAGACGGAAAGACCCCGUGAACCUUUACUAUAGCUUGACACUGAACAUUGAGCCUUGAUGUGUAGGAUAGGUGGGAGGCUUUGAAGUGUGGACGCCAGUCUGCAUGGAGCCGACCUUGAAAUACCACCCUUUAAUGUUUGAUGUUCUAACGUUGACCCGUAAUCCGGGUUGCGGACAGUGUCUGGUGGGUAGUUUGACUGGGGCGGUCUCCUCCUAAAGAGUAACGGAGGAGCACGAAGGUUGGCUAAUCCUGGUCGGACAUCAGGAGGUUAGUGCAAUGGCAUAAGCCAGCUUGACUGCGAGCGUGACGGCGCGAGCAGGUGCGAAAGCAGGUCAUAGUGAUCCGGUGGUUCUGAAUGGAAGGGCCAUCGCUCAACGGAUAAAAGGUACUCCGGGGAUAACAGGCUGAUACCGCCCAAGAGUUCAUAUCGACGGCGGUGUUUGGCACCUCGAUGUCGGCUCAUCACAUCCUGGGGCUGAAGUAGGUCCCAAGGGUAUGGCUGUUCGCCAUUUAAAGUGGUACGCGAGCUGGGUUUAGAACGUCGUGAGACAGUUCGGUCCCUAUCUGCCGUGGGCGCUGGAGAACUGAGGGGGGCUGCUCCUAGUACGAGAGGACCGGAGUGGACGCAUCACUGGUGUUCGGGUUGUCAUGCCAAUGGCACUGCCCGGUAGCUAAAUGCGGAAGAGAUAAGUGCUGAAAGCAUCUAAGCACGAAACUUGCCCCGA
rnacentral:rRNA from 1 species